rnacentral:rRNA from 3 species
ACCUGCGAAAGGAUCAUUAU